UGCGCAGGCGGCCGAUCAAGUCAGGUGUGAAAGGCUCCGGCUCAACCGGGGCACGGCGCUUGAAACUGGUCGGCUUGAGUGAGAUAGGGGUGUGCGGAACUGCCAGUGGAGCGGUGAAAUGCGUUGAUAUUGGCAGGAACACCGGUGGCGAAAGCGGCACACUGGGUCUCAACUGACGCUCAUGCACGAAAGCCAGGGGAGCGAACG
rnacentral:rRNA from 1 species